CCUACGGGCGGCUGCAGUGGGGAAUAUUGGACAAUGGGGGCAACCCUGAUCCAGCCAUGCCGCGUGUGUGAAGAAGGCCCUCGGGUUGUAAAGCACUUUCAGUGAGGAAGAACGCCUGGUGGUUAAUACCCAUCAGGAAAGACAUCACUCACAGAAGAAGCACCGGCUAACUCCGUGCCAGCAGCCGCGGUAAUACGGAGGGUGCGAGCGUUAAUCGGAAUUACUGGGCGUAAAGCGCGCGUAGGUGGCUUGAUAAGCCGGUUGUGAAAGCCCCGGGCUCAACCUGGGAACGGCAUCCGGAACUGUCAAGCUAGAGUGCAGGAGAGGAAGGUAGAUUUCCCGGUGUAGCGGUGAAAUGCGUAGAGAUCGGGAGGAAUACCAGUGGCGAAGGCGGCCUUCUGGACUGACACUGACACUGAGGUGCGAAGGCGUGGGUAGCAACCAGGAUUAGAUACCCCGGUAGUC
rnacentral:rRNA from 1 species